AUUGAACGCUGGCGGCAGGCCUAACACAUGCAAGUCGGGCGGAGCGGCGGACGGGUGAGUAAUGUAUGGGGAUCUGCCUGGUAGUGGGGGAUAACGUCCGGAAACGGGCGCUAAUACCGCAUACUAUCAGAUGAGCCUAGGUCGGAUUAGCUAGUUGGUGGGGUAAAGGGCUACCAAGGCGACGAUCCGUAACUGGUCUUAGAGGAUGAUCAGUCACACUGGAACUGAGACACGGUCCAGACUCCUAGGGGAGGCAGCAGUGGGGAAUAUUGGACAAGGGGCGAAAGCCGGAUCCAGCCAUGCCGCGUGUGUGAAGAAGGUCUUCGGAUUGUAAAGCACUUUAAGUUGGGAGGCGUUACCAACAGAAUAAGCACCGGCUAACUUCGUGCCAGCAGCCGCGGUAAUAC
rnacentral:rRNA from 1 species